rnacentral:rRNA from 1 species
UUAAAUUGAAGAGUUUGAUCAUGGCUCAGAUUGAACGCUGGCGGCAGGCCUAACACAUGCAAGUCGAACGGCAGCACAGAAGAGCUUGCUCUUUGGGUGGCGAGUGGCGGACGGGUGAGUAAUGUCUGGGAAACUGCCCGAUGGAGGGGGAUAACUACUGGAAACGGUAGCUAAUACCGCAUAACGUCGCAAGACCAAAGUGGGGGACCUUCGGGCCUCACACCAUCGGAUGUGCCCAGAUGGGAUUAGCUAGUAGGUGGGGUAAUGGCUCACCUAGGCGACGAUCCCUAGCUGGUCUGAGAGGAUGACCAGCCACACUGGAACUGAGACACGGUCCAGACUCCUACGGGAGGCAGCAGUGGGGAAUAUUGCACAAUGGGCGCAAGCCUGAUGCAGCCAUGCCGCGUGUAUGAAGAAGGCCUUCGGGUUGUAAAGUACUUUCAGCGGGGAGGAAGGCGGUGAGGUUAAUAACCUCGCCGAUUGACGUUACCCGCAGAAGAAGCACCGGCUAACUCCGUGCCAGCAGCCGCGGUAAUACGGAGGGUGCAAGCGUUAAUCGGAAUUACUGGGCGUAAAGCGCACGCAGGCGGUCUGUUAAGUCAGAUGUGAAAUCCCCGGGCUUAACCUGGGAACUGCAUUUGAAACUGGCAGGCUUGAGUCUCGUAGAGGGGGGUAGAAUUCCAGGUGUAGCGGUGAAAUGCGUAGAGAUCUGGAGGAAUACCGGUGGCGAAGGCGGCCCCCUGGACGAAGACUGACGCUCAGGUGCGAAAGCGUGGGGAGCAAACAGGAUUAGAUACCCUGGUAGUCCACGCCGUAAACGAUGUCGACUUGGAGGUUGUGCCCUUGAGGCGUGGCUUCCGGAGCUAACGCGUUAAGUCGACCGCCUGGGGAGUACGGCCGCAAGGUUAAAACUCAAAUGAAUUGACGGGGGCCCGCACAAGCGGUGGAGCAUGUGGUUUAAUUCGAUGCAACGCGAAGAACCUUACCUGGCCUUGACAUCCAGAGAACUUAGCAGAGAUGCUUUGGUGCCUUCGGGAACUCUGAGACAGGUGCUGCAUGGCUGUCGUCAGCUCGUGUUGUGAAAUGUUGGGUUAAGUCCCGCAACGAGCGCAACCCUUAUCCUUUGUUGCCAGCGGUUCGGCCGGGAACUCAAAGGAGACUGCCGGUGAUAAACCGGAGGAAGGUGGGGAUGACGUCAAGUCAUCAUGGCCCUUACGGCCAGGGCUACACACGUGCUACAAUGGCGCAUACAAAGAGAAGCGACCUCGCGAGAGCAAGCGGACCUCAUAAAGUGCGUCGUAGUCCGGAUUGGAGUCUGCAACUCGACUCCAUGAAGUCGGAAUCGCUAGUAAUCGUAGAUCAGAAUGCUACGGUGAAUACGUUCCCGGGCCUUGUACACACCGCCCGUCACACCAUGGGAGUGGGUUGCAAAAGAAGUAGGUAGCUUAACCUUCGGGAGGGCGCUUACCACUUUGUGAUUCAUGACUGGGGUGAAGUCGUAACAAGGUAACCGUAGGGGAACCUGCGGUUGGAUCACCUCCUUACCUGAA